rnacentral:rRNA from 1 species
GAGACAGGUGGUGCAUGGUUGUCGUCAGCUCGUGUCGUGAGAUGUUGGGUUAAGUCCCGCAACGAGCGCAACCUUGUGUUUAGUUGCAAAACAGGUCAAGCUGUGCACUCUAGACAGACUGCCGUGGACAACACGGAGGAAGGUGGGGAUGACGUCAAAUCAUCAUGCCCCUUAUGAUCUGGGCUACACACGUGCUACAAUGGCCGGUACAACGGGCAGCGAAGGAGCGAUCCGGAGCGAAUCCUAAAAAGCCGGUCCCAGUUCGGAUUGCAGGCUGAAACUCGCCUACAUGAAGUUGGAGUUGCUAGUAAUCGCGAAUCAGAAUGUCGCGGUGAAUGCGUUCCCGGGUCUU